UUAUUCAAACAAAAAUACAAACCAAGGAAAACCACAAAUAUGCAACAAUCUUAUAUCUAUACAUUAUAUCUCUACAUUAUAGAAAAUGAAAAUAUUUUUCAAAAAUCCAGAUGCCAUUACAAGAUCAAUAAAACGUGUAAUUCAAGACUUUCGCACAGUGCGGUACAGUAUCUAAACCGGUAAUACAUUCGCACCUUCCUUAAGACCUCGUUCGAAUCCUAAUUACAUUCCAAUUGCAACGCGCACUGUAAUUCAAACGAAACUACCAUGCAUAUCUUCCACAUCACGUAAGCACGAAUCAAUCCCACGCACCAGGGUGCGUAGCACCGGUAAUCGACAGUGGCCUUUAUUGAUUUUUCAUUUUCCAGCCAAUUCAAUUAUCUGGCAGAAGAGGACAAUUGGAUUAAUUCGGGCCCUUAAUUCCCUCGCUUCCAACAAUUGAGUUAGAUGGCUUGAUUCCAAGCGCUAUUUGUUUCGACCAUGAGGGCGUAUAUAUAAAAACCGUUACACACUGUCGGCCACUUACCGAUGACCAGGUCAUUGGAUUCAAGAAAAUGUAUAGGCUUGUAUUGUGCGUGUCUUACAAAUAAGUUUCGUGGGACAUUACAGAGACACGAGGACACAGGAUUUCUUGUGAAGCAUGCACGCAUUUGGUUUCGAUGAAUUGUAAUUGACUAUUACUAAAAUAUGAACGAUGCAAAGAAUUAAUAGAUAAUAAUAAUGAAAUGUAUUAUUGAAUCAAAUGAAAGAAUUCUUGCAUUUAUUUUUAUCUUAUUUUAUUUAUUUGAUUACUAGUUAAAGGUAAAGGCAUAGGACGUUCUCAUUUCACAAUGCUUCACAAUCAUCGAUGACUGAUUGAAACGCGAGAUAAACGGGAAAAAUUCGUACUUACUUGGAACAAGACUAUUCCCCUGACUCCUGAACCAGACUUCCUCGAUCAAGCGAAUAAAUUACACGGACCAUUACUCUACGAGUUUAUUUACCAACGAGAAUCCCAUAGAACAACAGGACGGAAGGCCAUUACAUGCUUCCUCCAAUUAGGAGAACCCUAGGCCGUCGAUCAAGUUACACAGCCAAGUUUUGAGGAUACAUUUUCAAAACAUUCGCAACGAUGGAUGAAUCCUGUACGAUUAAUCACCAUCAUUCUUUGAUUUUUGUGAAUUGCAACUCGUCCACAAAUGAUUUGGAUGUCGAUUUUUGUUCAAAUUGUGUGUAGAAUGAAGA